GGAGCGUCUGGGGGAGGGGAGCAGGCCUCCCCCAGCCGAGCCGCCGGGAAGGCCUCCGCAGUACCCGGGCGGCAGGGAAGGCCGGCCCCCCCCUUUCCCCCCCACGCCCGGGGGCAGCGCCGCCGCCUCCCCCGCCCGGGUCACCCGCUGCCUGCAAGCCCAGAGCCGCCGCCCCCCGCCCGGGACCCCCGAGACCACGGCAGACCCCGCCUCACACCGGUGGUCUGCAAGAUGUUUCCAGCUUGUUUCAUGUAUUGCUGAAAGACUGGACAGCUCAGGAAACACAAGAGCUUACAGGAGACAGACACACAGAGAGGUGGCAGGGCACCAAAGACCCCGCAGCCUACAGCUUUUGAGGGCGCGUCCUCCCACACAUGUGAAUGGGACUCUCUCAUGGAUGCUGCAGGCUGUCAGAAGUUGGAACAACAUACAUUCAGGCAAAAAUGAAAUGAUCACAAUCAGAAGGGAAAAAAAUGCUUCAGAACUUUUCCUUUCUCUUCCAGGCAAGAUAGGAAAGAUGCUGGUAGUAACCUAGCCUUUCCAUUUAAAAACAUCAGAA